rnacentral:rRNA from 1 species
UACGUAGGGUGCAAGCGUUGUCCGGAAUUAUUGGGCGUAAAGAGCUCGUAGGCGGUCAGUCGCGUCUGCUGUGAAAACUCGGGGCUUAACUCCGGGCCUGCAGUGGGUACGGGCUGACUAGAGUGCGGUAGGGGAGACUGGAAUUCCUGGUGUAGCGGUGAAAUGCGCAGAUAUCAGGAGGAACACCGGUGGCGAAAGCGGCUCACUGGACCGCAACUGACGCUGAGGCGCGAAAGCUAGGGGAGCAAACAGG